UACGGGGGGUGCGAGCGUUAAUCGGAAUAACUGGGCGUAAAGGGCACGCAGGCGGUGUUUUAAGUGAGGUGUGAAAUCCCCGGGCUUAACCUGGGAAUUGCAUGUCAUACUGGCAGUCUAGAGUCCCUUAGGGGGGGGUAGAAUUCCACGUGUAGCGGUGAAAUGCGUAGAGAUCUGGAGGAAUACCGGUGGCGAAGGCGGCCCCCUGG
rnacentral:rRNA from 1 species